CUAAACAUUGUCCAACGCAAUCAGCUGGAAAAUUUCCCAAGCACUUCCAGCUGAUUGUAAGGUAACAGGCUUUAGUCGACAACGUGCGAUUACAUUUGGCUAUUGUUUACACAUUGUGCAACACAUGAAAUGCGUCAGGAUAUGGAAAAUACAAGCAACCGAACCUACCGAUGCCGCAAAAAGUCUGGGAAACAACACUUUCCUGUGGAUACCCUAUCUCCACCUUCUACCGCCAAAAGGACCAACAGCACGGACAAUCGACAGCAGCAGUGUCCAGUUGACAAGAGGGGAGGUGGUUAAGGUUGGAGAUAAGAAGCUCAAAGGAUGCUGGGUACACGGAGGGACAGCAAGGCAGGAUGGGGUCUGGGUUCGUCUUGUUUUGCCAAGUCAACCAGUGGUUUUCCUAGCCCUGACCCUGGCCUGUCCUGACGCAGAACCCGCCUGCCUGACCACUCUGCCUGUCUGACCUCGAGCCUGCCUAUCCCCUUCAACUUUUUUGGACU